UGUACUAUUCGAGGACUUCAGGUAGAAAU
rnacentral:piRNA from 1 species